AUCAACAAUUUUGGUUGUUUCUCUAAAAUAGGCAUAGGAUCACAAUCUAGCCUGGAUGCUUCCAAUGUCAAUUCUGUGAGACUUGGUGAGAAUUCAACAAUUUCAGGCAAUUUUUGUAUGUGUCCCUUUACGUCCAACUAGGAGAGAUAGUGGCAAGAGUUCAUGGCAAGGGAUGGAAUGCAGGACUCAUCUGAUGCCUUAAGGUGCAAGGAUUUAAGACUAAGUAACUUGGCAAUGGAGUUUGAAAACUUAACCCCUUCAACCUCACACCUUCCUUCUAAUUUCAAUUUCUCAAGACAAGUUAACUCAAUUGAAUUGUUUUGAAUCCAUUGGUUGAAGGUUAUGCCCGACAGAAUUUGAAGAUUUUGCAAUGUAUCAAUUUGCAGUGGAACAUCUUCCUCUUGUCCCUCGAUGUAAAGAUAUCUCAUGUUUUUCAUCUUCCAUAUCACAUUUGGCACUUGUUUAAGAUUGUUUGUCUCCAAAGUCUGCAAACUCCUCAGGUUGCCUAUAGAUGGUUGAAGCAUUUUUAGACCAGUAUGCCUUAAUCCCAAGUACCUUAAUCAGUUCCCCAAUUAUACUUGGCAGGUAUUCCAUUUCUAAACCUUCCAAAUCUAACACUCUUAAGUACUUUGCAGGAUUUGGCAAUGAAAUCUAGUUGCGAUAUUCUACAAGUUCCAUACCCCAAAUUGAAAAAUAAGAGAGAGCGAAGAUAUGGGGUUAAAUGGUCAAUGGAAGCAUACCUCUCAAUGUCAGAAUUAAUACUUUGCCUACGGGAUUUAGAUGAAUUGGUGGAGGGGGAUGGAGGAUCUCCAAUAUUAGUUCCAAUGAAGUUUUUCUCUUUUGCCUUUUCAACAGCCAACUCUCAUACAAGGUCAUGAACUCGACAUGCCAUAACCCUUGCAUUAGCACUCAUUCUCACCACUUGAAUCAAGUUUCUAUUGAUUAACUCAUUAAAGUAAACCUCGGCCAUGUCUUUCAUGCUUUGUUGAUCUUGCUCCAACACAAAACCUUCAGCAAUCCACCAAAGGAGCAGUUUUCUUGUGGAGAUCACAUAAUCUUCUGGGAAGAGGCUUAAGUGAAGAAAGCACGGUUUCAGGUAAGAGGGCAAAUCGAUGUAGCUCAAGUUCAGAACUGUCAUUACUCCCUUUUGGUCUUCUUUAGCAAGGUAUGCACUAAUGUUAUCGUGCACCUUCUUCCAUUCUAUAUGUGACAUAUUUUUCGACAGCAAACCUCCCAAUACUAUAAUGGCCAAUGGUAAACCAUUACAUUUAUCCACCAUCUCUUCCCCAAGUUCCUUCAAAUAUGGGGGAUAGCUCUCAGCAUCAACAUCAAGGAAAGCCUUCCGACAAAUCAAGUCCCAGCUCUCUCGUUUGGAAAGAAGUUGCAUUUCCUAGGGCUUAGUUCAAGCAUCCGCGUGCAAAGCAACAUCCUUAAAUCAAGUUGUAAGAAGUAAUCUGCUGCUCUUACCCCCAUCAGGGAACACAUUUCCAAGGCAAUCAGAAUUGCUGCUGCUCACUCUUGCAAGACAAUCCCAAUCGGCAUGGCUCCAGACAUCAUCUAGAACUAUCAAAUAUCUUUUCCCCUUCAAAUGAUCAUGACGGAAAUCCCCCAACUGGUUCUCUUGAAAUUUCUCCAUCAUCUCUACCUGCUCUUUAGUUGGUGUAGAAACCUGGUUAAUAAUUUGCAUAUAAACCUCUAUAGGUCUACAAUCUUGGGAUACAUAAGCCCAGGCACGACAAUCUGGAAAGUGCUGCACAACUUCUGUAUGAGUAUAGACUUUCUUGGCAAGGGUGGUUUUGCCUAUGCCGCCCAUUCCUACUAUGAAAAUCACGCGGUGGCUUUGGUCUCCUCCGAUCAGCUGCUCCACUAGCUUAAUUAUCUGCUUCUUCUUUCAGGCCCACAAUAACAUGUUCUUCUGCAUGAGGAGAGGACCGUCUAAGAUCCUGCAGCAUCUGAGCUGAAUGGCUUGUUCCGUCUCCAACAUUUUUUAUUACGAGAGCUUCCCGCCUCUUUGAGAUGUCUUGGAGGCUAUGUUGGAUGGCUUCAAUUUUCUUGCCAACAUCGUAGAGGCUCAUCAACUUUUUGAAGGCACGCUUGAGAAGGCAGUUUGUUCUCAGGGCCUCUGCAUUCAGGAUGAACAUGUUCAAUCAUUGCCUUGAUCCUUGCAAUCUGUCUUUAUAGAGUUUAAGCACAUGAUACUCUAGAAAACUUGGCAUCAAAGGGUUCUGAAGAAGGGAAUCCCUGUAAUCCAUUAACAUUCAUCAGCACAAGUUUAUUUGGAUUCCAUUCAGCUGUAUAGACCUUUACGCAUCCUUAGAGAAAAAGGGAAUCCCUUUAACCCAUUACCAAAUUGAAUUAUCAAUAACUGAAUCAUGAUAUGCGAUAACACAGAAAAUAAUUAAAAGCUUAACAUUAAUACAAGAUUAUGAAUUUCAAAUUCUUCACCACAGGCUCCUUAAUCUAGAAAAUGCGCCGUGCCAUUAAAAUGACUUAAACUGGUCUGGUUUCCACCACAAGAAGUUUUGAACUCAUUAAAAAUGAAUAAAUCCUUCUGGGAGGCAAAAAAACUGGAAAAUGAUCAAAAUCCCAACAUAACUAGUUGGCUCAUAGCUUGAUUGUAUUAUGCUUGAAGCUGAAGAAACUCCUCUCGGCCCUUUAUUUUCUUUCAGUGCAAAAACCAGUGAGAGUGAUCAAAGCAGCAACUUUCUUGGAUGUUACAGAAUUGACAAUCACAGCAAAAUCAGGACCCUGCACUACAGAAUACUAAGUUAUAAUCAUCAACACCAAAUAGAAACAUUAAUAUCUUUAUCGAAACUGCUGGGGAAACCAAAUUGUGCCACUUAAUAGCCUCACUCACAGUCAGGUGAUAUUGUAAUUUUUCAUAGAAUGUGAGAUAUUUAGGCCCUGUUUAUUUAGACUGCUAUCUGUUUUCACUUUCACAGAAAACAUGUUUGGAAUGCAUUUUUCCAUUUUCAUUUUCUGGAAAACUGAACUCAAAAAAUAGAAAAAGCCAAAACACCAAUUUGAUUUUUUCAAAAUUUUCUUAAGAAAACUGGACAAAAAAAAAAUGAAAACAAAAAAGGAAAUAAUAUCACAUAAACCUAGUGACACCUACGACAUAAGAGGAAUACAAAUGUUACAAAUAUGAAAAAAAAUAUAUUCAUAUGAAUAAAACAUUAUUUCAUAUAUAUUUGAAAUCAAAUAUUAUCUUAAAAGUAAGACUUAAAUUUUUUAUUUAUUUACUUAAUCAUGGAAUGGUAUAAGUGAAAAUAUUUUUAUAUUAAAAUAAUUUAUUUUAUUAAUAAUAACUAUAUUAAAUCUUUAUUUUAUAAAAUGAAAUGGAAAAUGAAAACCAGAAAACCUUUUUGAAACCAAACACAACCUUAGAUUGUGAUUUGUUUUCAAGGGCAGAUCUAAUGUUUCCAACUAGGACCUCCAAAUCCAAAUGUAAUCAUGAACAGAAAAAAGGAACCCCAAUAUAUAUAUAUAUAUAUUUUUUACUAUAUCACAAGGUAGAUUUAGCAUACCAAGAAUUUUCCGCACAAACAGAAAAAGGAAAAAGAGUAGGAAAAAAUAUACGAAAAGCAAGCACCGAUUAUCACUUAUGUUUGUAAUUUGAAAAUAAAAAAAUAAUAAUAAUACAAAAGGGUUUUUUAUAGGCAAAACAAAGAAGGAUCAAUUAAUAAAGAAAGUUUCUUAAUUUAUUGCUUCCAAUAGCCCCUAAAAAUUUUUGUAAGUUUUUUUAUCAUGAGUUCUUCUUUAUUACUUUUAGUCAAACUAGUGAUUAAUUUUUAAGCCCAACAGUAAGUGCAUACUUUGUUUGGGAAGCUCUGAAGAAUUGCUCCCAAUCACUGAAGCUACAGAAGAGACGAUUUUAUCAGAUGCAGCAUUCACUGGACAGUACCUUCAGAAAACCAGAACAUUCAGGCAGAGAGUACAAAACUACAUUUGACAUCCAAUAACAAAAAGUCGAUGCUAGUCAAAAUUGUGGUUCAAUCAGGUUCUGUUACGAUUGCAGGAUUUCUAUAAUGGCCUAAUCAAGGAUGAUAAUAUUGCUAACUCUUAAGGCUAUAGUAUUGCCCCAAGUUAUAGAGUUCCCAACACAUGUUGACAUGAAACAGCCCCAACUUAAGGACCUAGCAUGCACAAAUAGAGAAGAAUAAACAAAGUUCUCUAAAACCACUCCAAGAUAAAUAAAGUAUUCUACCGUUUAGCUUUGAGUGAGGUUCCAGGUAAGAGUCCCAAUGGAAAGAAAAUAUGAAUAAAAAGGUAAUUACCUAUCAAUAAAAAAAGGUAAAUAAAGAAUUUGAUUCUACCAUAUGAUUUUUUGAACUUCUUCAUUACAUUACAUUUCAAAAUGUAAAACUGCUUUUAUGUUUCAAGAUUGAACUAGAGACUUCAACUCUCAAGGUAUUGUCUAAAAAAAAUCUUCACAAUAAGGAUCAAAAAUGACAAAAUCCAGAAUGUUCUCAGUGCCUAUUCCCAAUUGGAAAGACAAAUUCGGUAUUGGUAUCUUAAGUCAAUAAACACCACUUAAACAACAAAUUUAUUAUCUACAAACUUACAUUUGCAAUGCUCAAAAAAGCUAGUCCAGGGAACCAUGCACAGUCCAAAAGAUCAUUAACGACACUAUUUGACUUACUUUUAAGGAAAGUUAAACCAUGGACUAAAACAAGAUUGGCUUCACAACCAUUACAAACAGGACAGUUCUUAACACGACUAGUUCAAUAAACAUAUGGAAAUAAUGCUCAUAUGAAUUACCGAAACAAGAUCUUUAGGAUUCAAUGCCAAGCUUGAAAGGAUAAACAAGAAGAAAUCUCAUUGAUGUUCUCAAGCACUACAAUCAGCCCAAUCCGGAAAUCGGGUGCAAAUAUCUAAAAACACCUUCAAAAAAGCAUUUUCCAAAUAUGGUAAACUUGCAACAAAAACAUUCACAAUGAAAAUUAAUCAAACAAAAAAAGCCAUAUAUAAGAAACUUAGAAGAUACUACAUAUAAUAAAAGCCAUAUAUAAGAAUAUAUAAUAAUUCAGUACGUUCGUUCAAGAGUUUCUUCAACUAAGUAGAACUCCAAGUAGAGCUCUCUACGCCGUGAAUGGAUUUCAUAUUCUGGAUGUAUCCCAAAACAACUAGUCGCCAUUAUUCGAAACUAUUCAUUGGCAAACACAAUUUGUAGUAGGGGUUUUACAAUCAUAAAUGGAUGGUGUAGCUUGAUUCAGUCAUGCUCGGUUUGCAGAGAUCAAACAUGCAUUAUAAUCCUUCUACUAUCCUCCCAUUACAAACAAUGGUAUUUGAGAAAAAGAGAGCCUAUCAAGUUUUAGCCAUCCAUGUGAUUUUUGGGCAUUAGUAUUUCACAAGUACUUGCCUGGUCUUCAUUUAACCAUGUGUGAUUAGUGGCCAUGAUGCAGCUUUCCUCUCACCACUUAUAGUAUUCUAGAAAGGCAGCUAACCCUUCGACAGCCUUCCUACAGCUCGCUGAUGUUUGACCUGUUGCAGCACAUACCUGAGUAUCACUAGUCCAACUUUUUAUGUAACUGAAGUAAACAUGCGCACAUGUACUAGGAAUCUAAUAGUAAGUAUAGGAGCUUGGGCUUCUCUCUGGCAUCGUUGUUAUGCAAAUUAAAGAACUACGAAUAAUACUUGGCCAUGAAUUACUAGGCUGGGUUGAUUGAAAUCACAUCCAACUAAGGGAAUAAAAACAUAAAUACACACCCAACAAUCAUCCAAGUAAGAGGGGGUUCCAGGCUUACCUUUUUGAUGACAUAACUGAAUUCCAUCGGAGCCGCUUCCAAUGAUUAAAGUGAAAUAAAUAGAAAACCAAAUAAGACAUGUUAGCUAAAUAAAAAGAACAAUAAAAAGAAUUUUAAAAAAAAUCAUUGUUACAAUGUUGAAGAGAUAUAAUUUGAGUUAUUUGAACUUUUUACUUUAUAUUGGAAAGUUAAUGUUAGUACUAUUUUCCUAGUAUGGAUUGGAUAUAUAAAAAAAAACAUUUGCAUUUGUUUUACUUUUUCAAUUGGUAGAUGCAAUUAAGAUUAUUACAUGUGCAAAAGUGAUGAAACUAAAAAAAUGUGUGUGUGAGAGAGAGAGAACGGCAUAGGGCUCAAUGUGUACAAAUUAAAGAGGUGGGAGUAUGGUCUUAAAGAUUCCCGACAUGUAUUUCAUUUUCAAAUAUGCUAUAAAUUUCUUUUAAAAAAAUUAUAAUUAAAAAAUGUUGUAUGAGUAAUUAUAUUGGUCUUAUAUGUUAAUUCAAGAAAUAAGUGAUAGGUAGUAAUUCUAGACUUUUAUAAACAUAUAUUCUAUCACUUUUUGAUGCUUACUGCAUUUUUUACAUUCACUCAUAUAGGAAGGGGGGGAGUGAGGAGUGAUCAAUGAUAUAUAAAAAGUUUCAGUAUAAGAACUCCUUAUAUGUUAAUUAAAUAACCAAUAUAUUGAGGUAUAACAAAAUUGGUAAUUGAAGGGAUCCAAAGUAGAGAGGUGAAAUUAGUUACCAUGUAUGAUCCCAAAGAGGAAUUCUAGCCAUUUUGGACCCGAGAACAAGCCGCAAAUAGGGAAGCGUAAUUUUUACCUCCACCAAAUUUAGCAACUCAUCAAGUCCCGAGAACUUUGUUUUAAAAUAAAAUUGUAGUUGCAUAAGCCAUGGCAUCGCGCCUUUCUCUAUAUUCAACUUCUUCAAUUCCCUCAACUCAAAAAGUUGAAGUACUUUGAGUUGAGGAAACCCAUUUGCAGAUACAUGCAUUUCCUUUCCAAGAUAUGACUUAGCCCUUAAUCUAAGAGUCAACAAUUUUGGUAGCUUCUCCAAAAAGACCAUAUGAUCACAAUCUAGCCUGGAUGCUUCCAAUGUCAAUUGUGUGAGACUUUGUGAGAAUUCAUGGAUUUCAGGGAAUUUUUGCAUGUGUCCCUUUAUGUCCAACUUAGAGAGAUGGAGGCAAGAGUUUAUGGCAAAGGGUGGAAUGUUGGACUCAUCUGAUGCCUUAAGGUACAAGGAUUUAAGACUAAGUAGCUUGGCAAUGGAGUUUAAAAACUCAACUCCUUCUACGUCACACCUUCCUUCUAAUUUCAAUUUCCCAAGACAAGUUAAGUUGCUUGAAUCGUUCUUGAUCCAUUGGUCGAAG
rnacentral:lncRNA from 1 species